UUAAUUAACUAUAAUUUUUGGCUUGAAUUUUAUAAAUUGUUUUGAGCUAGAUUUCGUAAUGUAAUUUAGUCGGCUAAAUAUGAACGUAUUAUUGAUAUGUAAGUAAUAUGACAUUUUAAUAGCAUUUGGAAUGGUGCAAAGCUUGACGAGACUGUGGAAUAACUACUGGACGCCCCAAUCAGUAAUCUGGCUGCUUCUUGCUUUUGUCAGUAUCUUUUCUGACUCUUUUUCUUGUACUUUCUAUUGUUUCAUUUACUUUUCUCCUCAAUCUCUCCUUUUUUCUUUUUUUUUUUUUAUCUGGGCACUAUUUACCCUAUCAAUGUAGCUUAGUUAAUGUUCCUACU
rnacentral:lncRNA from 1 species